rnacentral:lncRNA from 1 species
GAAGGAAACUUGUCAAUUGUGUUUAUUUUUAAUCCAAAAUAAAAUAAGCCGCCGUAAAAUUAAUCUUGGGUUAAUUCCUCAAAUUGAUGCAAGAGGCUUCUUUUUUUUUAAGCUAUAUUUUUAAUGACUUACACUUUUUACCAUUAUUCUCUUUCUUUCACUAUUCUUUAUUCCUUUUUUUCUUUGCCCGUUAGGGAGCUACCAUUUGAUUUUUAUAGGGGGGCUAGGAUGAAAUUUGAAAAAAAAUAGGCAGGACAGGAGUUUUAAGUAAAAAAAAAGGCAGGAUGAGACACUUUGCCAAAAAAAAGGCAGGAUGACAAUUUAGGUAAAAAAAAGUCAGGAUAAACUGAUAAAAAAAAGGCAGGACCGAAUAGAGUGAAAAAUAAAAAGGCAGGACAGAGAUUACAACUAAAAAAAAAUGCAGGACAAAAUUUUUCAUCCUAGCCCCCCCCCCCC